rnacentral:tRNA from 1 species
AAGGAUUUAAGUUAUACUAAACUAGUGACCUUCAAAGUCAAAAACAGGAUUAUUCUAAUCCUUG